CAAUUGUCUAUAGAUCAAAGACCCGCUCUUGGAAAACUAUUAACACAUUCCAGCAAAACAAUAUCCCUUCUUUUGGCUAUUCUCUUUGGCUUUUACAGUAUACUGUUGAAGAGAAAGACAAGUGGGGAAAAUAAAUUAUGAAUGUUAGAUGGAGUAGGAAUCUAUGGGAGGACUGAGACGAGACGGACAUGGGGAAGAUCUAAGUGUGGUGCUGGCCCUGGAAGAAGGUCCCAGGGACAGGUGGGCUCUUGAAUGAACAUCCAACUAUAUGAAAGUCUGCAUAUGUGUAUGAAAUUUCUGUGGCAUAUGUUGCUUGUUCUCUCCAUGUGUCCUCAGAGAAUGUGAAGGAUGCUGGAGUUAGUUUUGGAUUCUUGAAUGCAG
rnacentral:lncRNA from 14 species